rnacentral:misc_RNA from 1 species
AAGUCGUAACAAGGUUUCCGUAGGUGAACCUGCGGAAGGAUCAUUAACACGUAUCCACGUAUCAACCAAUGUGCACUUGUAAUUCUACCUUUGUAGGGAAUGGAUUGAGCCGACACGCCACGAAAAUGCAGGCUUAGUUGCCCGUGGUAGUUCGCAAACUUAGUAGGAAUUUAUUUUCUUGCUAGACAAUCGUAUCCUGUCACAAAGACAACUGUUCCUGCCUACGCCUAGGACUUCUGCAUUGUUCAAGGUGGUGGGGACACAUUAUUAACUUUAUUCACAACCUUUUUGCUAGUUGACUUUUAUAUGUUGGUUUUCGUACUUUUGUGCGUGGGCCACACGUUUAAUUAUUUGAACGUUAAAAAUACAACUCUUAGCAAUGGAUAUCUUGGUUCUC